rnacentral:rRNA from 1 species
CUGCUGCCUCCCGUAGGAGUCUGGGCCGUGUCUCAGUCCCAAUGUGGCCGUCCACCCUCUCAGGCCGGCUAUGGAUCGUCGGUUUGGUGGGCCGUUACCCCGCCAACUGCCUAAUCCAACGCGGACCCAUCCUAUGCCGCCUCAGCUUUUCACACCGUACCAUGCGGUACUGUGCGCUUAUGCGGUAUUAGCACCCGUUUCCGGAUGUUAUCCCCCUGCAUAGGGCAGGUUGUCCACGCGUUACUCACCCGUCCGCCGCUAACG